rnacentral:rRNA from 1 species
UACGGAGGGGGCUAGCGUUGUUCGGAAUUACUGGGCGUAAAGCGCACGUAGGCGGCUUUGCAAGUUAGAGGUGAAAGCCCAGGGCUUAACCCUGGAAUUGCCUUUAAAACUGCAUCGCUAGAAUUGUGGAGAGGUGAGUGGAAUUCCGAGUGUAGAGGUGAAAUUCGUAGAUAUUCGCAAGAACACCAGUGGCGAAGGCGGCUCACUGGCCCGAUACUGACGCUGAGGCACGAAAGCGUGGGGAGCAAACAGG